rnacentral:rRNA from 1 species
GACGAACGCUGGCGGCGUGCUUAACACAUGCAAGUCGAACGGAAAGGCCCCCUUGUGGGGUACUCGAGUGGCGAACGGGUGAGUAACACGUGAUUAACCUACCCUAGCCUUUGGGAUAACUUCAUGAAACUGGGGCUAAUACCGGAUAGGAGCUCCUGCUGCAUUGUGGGGGUUGGAAAGUUUCGGCGGUUGGGGAUGGACUCGCGGCUUAUCAGCUUGUUGGUGGGGUAGUGGCUCACCAAGGCGUUGACGGGUAGCCGGCCUGAGAGGGUGGCCGGCCACAUUGGGACUGAGAUGCGGCACAGACUCCUACGGGAGGCAGCAGUGGAGAAUAUUGCACAAUGGGCGGAAGCCAGGUGCAGCAACGCCGCGUGCGGGAUGACGGCCUUCGGGUUGUAAACCGCUUUCGCCUGUGACGAGGCGUGAGUGACGGUAAUGGGUAAAGAAGCACCGGCUAACUACGUG